CAGCCGGAGGAGCGAGGCGGGAUGAGCUGCUGAUGGUCGCCGCCUUGCGCGGGGUGCAGUGGUAGGACAACGUAGCGUGAGGGGAUAUUGCACCAUCUGUCACACGAGUUCCACAGCGGUGGAUGUGGAGGACUGUUGAUGUUGCUGUUGUGGCUGCCGCCGGCCCCCAGCUACUCCUCAUGGAAGACCAGGGCUUCCUGGAGCAUGAGAUGUCCAGGUUGUAUGGGUCCAGGCAAUCUCAUUCUUUCUAAGCGUCUCAUGGUUGUGUUUGCGUGUUGUGCAAGCCAUGCCCUGUUUUUUUUUUGGAUAUGGUUACUGCAGUUGGUAAACCGUGUUGGUAGCAGUGCUAUCUACCUGUAGCUGUUGUGCUAUUUCUGAAGUUGUUUGGUUUCCUGAAAUAUUUUGCUAUUGUUUCUUGAAGUUGAAGAAAUUUUGUUGCUGUUAUGAUCUGGUGAUGUGGAGGUAAUAGAACCUCGUCACCUAGUUCUCUUUCAAGUAUUUGCUGUCUUAUUCUUGUGCUGAUGAGAUACUUUUCUUUUCUUCUUAAAAGCAAGUGUUGAUGGAGUAGUACAGUAACCACAAGCAUUUGAUUCAUCAUGAUUUGUUUAGUGUAGUUGAUCAUGUCCUGAUGCACUUUUCUUGUAUUUUGUUUGCAGUAGUGUUGUUUUCUUGAUUUAACGUGUUUAAAUAGUUGAUCAGCGUGCUAGUAUUUUCUUUUGGAGUAGUUCCAUGUGUAGCACAGAAGCAAGAAUCUGAUUCAUGACCAUUCUUUUAAUUACGAGCUCUAGUAUAUAAAGGCUGUUAACUUGCUAUGGUCUGCUUCAUUUGAGUGUACUAAUCAUGCAACUUUUGAUGUUAAGAGUGUUGUCCAUAUCUACACCUAAUUAGUUACAUAAUACUUAAUGGUAGUUUUCUAACAUAAUUUCUUACUCUAAAUUCUGUAUUGUUUUCCAUGAUCUGUAUAUGUAGUGAUGUAGUGCUGCCCGUGCAUUGUUUACUAGGAAUUCUCUGUCUGUUUUGUCCAGAGCCUAGCUGACCAUGUAUUUUUUACAAUAAUGUUCUUGACCAUACUCCUUUGUUUAUUUCAGCAAGGCCUCGGGGUCUAGUGCUUCCAUGAGGUGCCCAGGUUCCCACGGUUCAGGCACGAAAGUGACUAUCCAUUAGCUGGAUCAACUGCUAUUAUGUGUGUUGUCUCUUAGGGGAUUUCAAGUUGGUGGGGCUGGCUAGGAGGUAGCCAUGGCCGCCAGAUCUAUCCGGUUUGCAGCGGUGGCCUUCGUCUUCGAGUUGGUGGGUUUAGUUGAAGGAUAUAUAUAUCCAGGAGGAGGGGUCGAUGGCAGCAAGGAACCUGCAGUGCGAUGCAUCAUCUGGAUGUAA